rnacentral:rRNA from 1 species
GAUACAGGGUGACAGCCCCGUACACAAAAGCGCAUGUGCUGUGAGCUCGAUGAGUAGGGCGGGACACGUGGUAUCCUGUCUGAAUAUGGGGGGACCAUCCUCCAAGGCUAAAUACUCCUGACUGACCGAUAGUGAACCAGUACCGUGAGGGAAAGGCGAAAAGAACCCCGGCGAGGGGAGUGAAAAAGAACCUGAAACCGUGUACGUACAAGCAGUGGGAGCACAGGUUUACCUGUGUGACUGCGUACCUUUUGUAUAAUGGGUCAGCGACUUAUAUUCUGUAGCAAGGUUAACCGAAUAGGGGAGCCGGAGGGAAACCGAGUCUUAAUUGGGCGUUAAGUUGCAGGGUAUAGACCCGAAACCCGGUGAUCUAGCCAUGGGCAGGUUGAAGGUUGGGUAACACUAACUGGAGGACCGAACCGACUAAUGUUGAAAAAUUAGCGGAUGACCUGUGGCUGGGGGUGAAAGGCCAAUCAAACCGGGAGAUAGCUGGUUCUCCCCGAAAGCUAUUUAGGUAGCGCCUCGUGAAUUCAUCUCCGGGGGUAGAGCACUGUUUCGGCUAGGGGGCCAUCCCGGCUUACCAACCCGAUGCAAACUGCGAAUACCGGAGAAUGUUAUCACGGGAGACACACGGCGGGUGCUAACGUCCGUCGUGAAGAGGGAAACAACCCAGACCGCCAGCUAAGGUCCCAAAGUCAUGGUUAAGUGGGAAACGAUGUGGGAAGGCCCAGACAGCCAGGAUGUUGGCUUAGAAGCAGCCAUCAUUUAAAGAAAGCGUAAUAGCUCACUGGUCGAGUCGGCCUGCGCGGAAGAUGUAACGGGGCUAAACCAUGCACCGAAGCUGCGGCAGCGACACUGUGUGUUGUUGGGUAGGGGAGCGUUCUGUAAGCCUGUGAAGGUGUGUCGUGAGGCAUGCUGGAGGUAUCAGAAGUGCGAAUGCUGACAUAAGUAACGAUAAAGCGGGUGAAAAGCCCGCUCGCCGGAAGACCAAGGGUUCCUGUCCAACGUUAAUCGGGGCAGGGUGAGUCGACCCCUAAGGCGAGGCCGAAAGGCGUAGUCGAUGGGAAACGGGUUAAUAUUCCCGUACUUGGUGUUACUGCGAAGGGGGGACGGAGAAGGCUAUGUUGGCCGGGCGACGGUUGUCCCGGUUUAAGCGUGUAGGUGUGUGUUCCAGGUAAAUCCGGUUCACUUUAACACUGAGGCGUGACGACGAGGCACUACGGUGCUGAAGCAACAAAUGCCCUGCUUCCAGGAAAAGCCUCUAAGCAUCAGGUAACAUCAAAUCGUACCCCAAACCGACACAGGUGGUCAGGUAGAGAAUACCAAGGCGCUUGAGAGAACUCGGGUGAAGGAACUAGGCAAAAUGGUGCCGUAACUUCGGGAGAAGGCACGCUGACACGUAGGUGAAGUGAUUUACUCAUGGAGCUGAAGUCAGUCGAAGAUACCAGCUGGCUGCAACUGUUUAUUAAAAACACAGCACUGUGCAAACACGAAAGUGGACGUAUACGGUGUGACGCCUGCCCGGUGCCGGAAGGUUAAUUGAUGGGGUCAGCGCAAGCGAAGCUCCUGAUCGAAGCCCCGGUAAACGGCGGCCGUAACUAUAACGGUCCUAAGGUAGCGAAAUUCCUUGUCGGGUAAGUUCCGACCUGCACGAAUGGCGUAAUGAUGGCCAGGCUGUCUCCACCCGAGACUCAGUGAAAUUGAACUCGCUGUGAAGAUGCAGUGUACCCGCGGCAAGACGGAAAGACCCCGUGAACCUUUACUAUAGCUUGACACUGAACAUUGAGCCUUGAUGUGUAGGAUAGGUGGGAGGCUUUGAAGUGUGGACGCCAGUCUGCAUGGAGCCGACCUUGAAAUACCACCCUUUAAUGUUUGAUGUUCUAACGUGGACCCGUUACCCGGGUUGCGGACAGUGUCUGGUGGGUAGUUUGACUGGGGCGGUCUCCUCCUAAAGAGUAACGGAGGAGCACGAAGGUUGGCUAAUCCUGGUCGGACAUCAGGAGGUUAGUGCAAUGGCAUAAGCCAGCUUGACUGCGAGCGUGACGGCGCGAGCAGGUGCGAAAGCAGGUCAUAGUGAUCCGGUGGUUCUGAAUGGAAGGGCCAUCGCUCAACGGAUAAAAGGUACUCCGGGGAUAACAGGCUGAUACCGCCCAAGAGUUCAUAUCGACGGCGGUGUUUGGCACCUCGAUGUCGGCUCAUCACAUCCUGGGGCUGAAGUAGGUCCCAAGGGUAUGGCUGUUCGCCAUUUAAAGUGGUACGCGAGCUGGGUUUAGAACGUCGUGAGACAGUUCGGUCCCUAUCUGCCGUGGGCGCUGGAGAACUGAGGGGGGCUGCUCCUAGUACGAGAGGACCGGAGUGGACGCAUCACUGGUGUUCGGGUUGUCAUGCCAAUGGCACUGCCCGGUAGCUAAAUGCGGAAGAGAUAAGUGCUGAAAGCAUCUAAGCACGAAACUUGCCCCGAGAUGAGUUCUCCCUGAGACUUA